rnacentral:lncRNA from 1 species
AUGCAAUGUUACACUAAAAGUGCACCCUUCUUUUUGUUUUUUGUGAAAGCAGAAGAGAGUUAUUAUGUCACAGCUGUGAUAACAUUUGAUACUGUAGAUGAGGGCUCAAAUAACCGCCCGAGAGGUGAUCUAGCUUUACGUUUUUGGCAAAGGUCAGGCGUCAGGAUGCUGGAAUCCACCCUAAAGCCACAGCGUCCCGGCCUGGCAGCGUCUGACCCUCUUGCGUCAACUUUUCCUCCCAUUGUUCAGCUGAGCACACAGAGACGAAUGACAGGAUGGGAGGCACCGUGCCCACCCUGGGGUCGACCAAUGGAGCGCCUGCUUCACAGCGAACACGCAGGAAGCGGCAGCCGUCCUUGGCCAGCCUCUGGACCAUCUCCAGCCUGGACAGGUCCUCCUUAUCAUGAAGGAUGCACAUGCUCCUCUGCUGCAGCGCCGGGGGCACAGAGAACAUGUAUCUGAGGCCACAGUCCCAUGACAUCGCUGCUGGCACCGCUCACGCUGAUCCAACAGGCAACACGUGUUCUUCAGGCAGUUCUCAGAGCGUUCCGUGCAGACCAGCCUGGACUCCAGGUUCUCCGCUGUGUUUAACUUUACUGAGAGUGAAUGACAGAUUCCCUCUCUGUGUCCUCCCCUCGCCUUUAACCGCUCGGGGAGGGGAGAGAGAGUUACGGCUACGGUGAGUUCAGGAAACAUCUGGUGAGCUAGACAGACCCAAAAAGGAAGUUUUGAGAACUCCAGAAAGCGGGAGAACGUCAGGGUUCAGGAAUGGGCAGGGUGGGUUUGGAAGGUCGAACACUUGUUCGGGUGGAGAAGUGUCAAGUGUGUGAGGAAGUACACAAGGUCCUUAACACGAGUGCUGAAUGAUAAGUACCUGUUCUGCUGUCUCGCACGACUGAACACGCUGAUUAAUGUCAAAUAGAACACUGAAAGGAUUUAUUCAGAACCUGCAAACACAAUAAUAAAGUGCAGACUCUCCUACCAUCAUGGAGCUCGGUGUGUUUACAGAAGUGUGAGACAAUUGUGGUCUCUUGUUCCAUCCAGAUGAAGCAAGGACGUUAACCCGCUUAAUUUAUCGUUGCAUCUUUUUCUGCUCCGUCAGCAGCGGCGCGGCGCUGGACUGGAUCCGCGCACGGCCACUCGCCGAUGACGCCAUGCAAACCGCUGACGCCGCAACGCGGCAGGGACAGAGGAGGUUCCACCUUCAGAUGUUCUUUAGAUCCCAUCAGUUCCCAUUUCAGACAAAUAUUCAGCCCCACUGAAACCAACAAGUCAGCCUUCAUUCUAACUCGUUUUAUGGAAUUGAUUUGAUCGGAAGCUCACAGUUCGGGAGUUCUAGCAUUGGGUCAGCAGACUUGGUCAAGAUUGUGAACCCUGAUGAGCAAACAAACCCUGGAAAAUGCUUCCCGGAGCCUCCAGAAUCAGAAAAGCUCAAUUACUGCAGUAUAAAUUAAAAGGAG